rnacentral:SRP_RNA from 1 species
GGGUAAGUCCUAUACAGCGUUUGGCUACUCAACCAUGUCAGGGCCGGAAGGCAGCAGCAUCCAGCAGUUCAAAUGUGUGAUAUAGUUUCGCUUGCCCCUU